AUGUAAUGGUGAAUUUGGAAUAUAUAUCCUGUUUCAUUUCGUAUAUCUAUAUGAAAUAGGGCGUGUGUUAUAUUGACACCAAUAUUAUCUUAUUUAUUCAUAACUUAUUGAUAUAAAAUUGAAUUUAAGUUUUCUUUGGUAUAAAGUGAUGCUGAGCAGGAACACUAAAUGGCAAGAUCAUAUAUUUACCGGUCAGCUAUAAUAUAUACAAGUAUCAUAACAGUGGUUGCAAAUGUAUCUUUGAUAUUUAGACCAGAGGUUAUACGUUUAGGAGAGACGCUAUCUUUAAUUUGUACUGUUGCCGGUGUAGAUACUAUAAACAGAGGACUCAUCAGACAAUGGACAAAAGGCCCAGAACUUAUCUGCUAUAAUGGUCAUCCAAUAAACCCAAAUAAGUAUACAGAAUUAUUAAAAAAUGGGAAUCAAUUCGAACUUCAGAUAAACAACGUGACAGAGUCAGACCUACGGUGUAAAUACCAAUGUCGUUAUAGUUUUGACACACAAACAAAGGGUAUAGAAAUAUCAAAGCAUAAUUUUGAAUAUCUACCACCAAGCGACACAAGAGCUUUAAUGCAAACCAACGUAUCUGAUGGAAGUAUUACAAUACUUCUGCAUUUAAAAAAGGUUUAUCCAAUGCCAAACUGUACGGUAGCAAUAGAGGGUUUACGUAUACCCUUCGAUAUUGUGAAGCACCAUAGACAUGACAUUUAUUAUGAAGUGUAUAUGGUCUACCAGGCCGAUAAUUCAAUAAACUGCAAUGACAAUUUGGAAGUUACUUGCCAGUUAAUAGAUAAUCAUCCGAUACCAGUUAAUAAGGAGGCGAUGUGUCAAGUGAAAGAUACAGUUUUAGAAUGUUAGUGUUUUGUUGCCAUCAGUGAUUACGAGAAACAGUUAAAGGUCAACAUUUCAAAUUCCAUCGAUUAACAAUAUGAGUUAAUGACGUACACCAUUAUUUGGAUUUGUUUGUCGAUCUGUUUUAGUCUGGCAGUAGCAACAUUUCUACUAUUUUGUAAAUUGAGAAAUGUACAUGGAAAAAAAGAAGUUCACCUUUGAUAUGACCAACAUGAAUCAAAUAAUUGGAAGGAAGAAGAAAAUGCAAGAAAAGAAAGCAAGACAACGUUAACUGCACUGUCGAGGCAUUGAGCGAACUUCAAAAUAAAAUAAAAAAUAUUUCAAUCUAUAAUAUAAAGCAAACGCAUAAUUUAAAAAAAAAUGACAACAUUGAUAUUGCAUGAAAUACAAAAUCAAAUUCUUCAGGAAAAUAAUUUUAUUGGUUCUAUUUAUCAACU